UACGGGGGGGGCAAGCGUUGUUCGGAAUUACUGGGCGUAAAGGGCUCGUAGGUGGCCAACUAAGUCAGACGUGAAAUCCCACGGCUCACCCGUGGAACUGCUGGGCAUACUGGCGAUCUUGGGCCAACUAGGGGCAGCCGGAACAAGCGGUGGAGCGGUGAAAUGCGUAGAUAUCGCUUGGAACGCCGAAGGUGAAAACAGGCUGCUGGGGUUGCGCCGACGCUGAGACACGAAAGCCAGGGGAGCAAACGGG
rnacentral:rRNA from 1 species